rnacentral:rRNA from 1 species
AACGAACGCUGGUGGCAUGCCUAACACAUGCAAGUCGAACGAGACCUUCGGGUCUAGUGGCGCACGGGUGCGUAACGCGUGGGAAUCUGCCCUUGGGUUCGGAAUAACAGUUGGAAACGACUGCUAAUACCGGAUGAUGACGUAAGUCCAAAGAUUUAUCGCCCAAGGAUGAGCCCGCGUAGGAUUAGCUAGUUGGUGAGGUAAAGGCUCACCAAGGCGACGAUCCUUAGCUGGUCUGAGAGGAUGAUCAGCCACACUGGGACUGAGACACGGCCCAGACUCCUACGGGAGGCAGCAGUGGGGAAUAUUGGACAAUGGGCGAAAGCCUGAUCCAGCAAUGCCGCGUGAGUGAUGAAGGCCUUAGGGUUGUAAAGCUCUUUUACCCGGGAUGAUAAUGACAGUACCGGGAGAAUAAGCGCCGGCUAACUCCGUG